AUCUCAGAUGAUGAUUUGGAAGCAGAAAGCAAAAGGAUAUAUAAUCAGAUUAUAUUUGACUUGACUCGGGAGCUGUUGCAAGAAGAAUAUGCAGUAAUGGGGAAUUCAAACACUUGUCCGUGGCUCAAAGAAAACCUGGGUUCUCGUUGCUCCAGACGUCUUCAGAGGAAGCCAGAUGUCAGUGAAGUCAAGUCUAUUAUUCAGGGAGAAAUUAUAAAGAUAAUGAACUUUGAGAAGAAUGACUUGGAGAUGAAGAGGAAACUCCUUAAUAUGACAAAGUAUGGAAACUGUAAAA
rnacentral:lncRNA from 1 species